rnacentral:rRNA from 1 species
GAAAGCGUGGGGAGCAAACAGGCUUAGAUACCCUGGUAGUCCACGCCGUAAACGGUGGGCACUAGGUGUGGGACUCAUUCCACGAGUUCCGUGCCGAAGCUAACGCAUUAAGUGCCCCGCCUGGGGAGUACGGCCGCAAGGCUAAAACUCAAAGGAAUUGACGGGGGCCCGCACAAGCGGCGGAGCAUGCGGAUUAAUUCGAUGCAACGCGAAGAACCUUACCUGGGCUUGACAUAUACCGGAAACACCUAGAGAUAGGUGCCCCGCAAGGUCGGUAUACAGGUGGUGCAUGGCUGUCGUCAGCUCGUGUCGUGAGAUGUUGGGUUAAGUCCCGCAACGAGCGCAACCCUCGUCCUAUGUUGCCAGCACGUAAUGGUGGGGACUCAUAGGAGACUGCCGGGGUCAACUCGGAGGAAGGUGGGGAUGACGUCAAGUCAUCAUGCCCCUUAAGUCCAGGGCUUCACGCAUGCUACAAUGGUCGGUACAAAGAGCUGCGAAACCGCAAGGUUAAGCGAAUCUCAAAAAGCCGGCCUCAGUUCGGAUUGGGGUCUGCAACUCGACCCCAUGAAGUCGGAGUCGCUAGUAAUCGCAGAUCAGCAACGCUGCGGUGAAUACGUUCCCGGGCCUUGUACACACCGCCCGUCAAGUCAUGAAAGUCGGUAACACCCGAAGCCGGUGGCCCAACCUUUUGGAGGGAGCCGUCGAAGGU